GUGCUCGCUCCAGUAGCACAUAUCCUAAAAUUGGAAGUAUACAGAGAAAAUUAACAUGGCCUCUGCACAAGGAUAACAUGCAAUUUCAUGAAGCAGUAAAUAUUUGG
ensembl:snRNA LOC120103207 U6 spliceosomal RNA